rnacentral:lncRNA from 1 species
UAGGUUCUUUAAUUAUUUCUAGGUUUAGUUCUUAUUUAAUUCUUACUUUAUUAUACUUACUAGAUAUCCGCUCGUAUUGAAUGCUCUAGUUAUCCUAGGUAAUUAGAGUAGUAAGCGCUAGUGUAGACAUGGUGUCUAGACUAGUGUUUACCUGAGUUUGCGCCCAAUCCCACGGUUAGUUGUAGUAGCCCCAUGGGUGACAACCCUGUCAAGUCUUUGUAUUCCACCACAUUCAGGUUGGUGUUUCAUAGAGCUUUUUGGCAGCCUUCUCCCGACUACUUUCUUCCUAGUCUUUUUUGAGAGUCAAAAAGGUACUACUGCUCCACGGUAAGUAUAGUAUAGUAAGCCUAAUCUUUAUCACCCAAUCAACUUAGAAAACUCUAGAAUGUUCCUCUCUACCCACCAAAAAUAUAUAUAUCUUUCUUAUCUUUAUCCUUAGACGACCUUGAUUCUCUAGUACACUUCACGUUCCUUGUGGAAAUCGACACUCUAGAAUACUCUCGGUUGAAAGCUACAUCGGUAUCCGUGUGCUUGGGGAUUUGUGUUUAAAAUACCCAACAGCAAGCCAUAUCCUUCUCCAGUUUAAAGACUGAUUGUUAAGGAAUCUUUUGUGUAUCUCAAUAUAUGGAGUAUAAAAUGGGAAAGGACAAUUGUAUAUUUCUAGUGUAGAAAUAGCAUGGGGCUAGAAAUGGGAUAUAUGGAUGCUUUUGCAAAUUUCCAUGUUACAGAAUAAGCAAUAAUUUUGGUGGUUGCAAACUUCCAGAAUGGAUGGUAGGCAAUAGUGAUAGGUGUAAGUGGGAUCUUGAUCAAAAAGGCAUGACAAGUUUCUCUACUUAGAUCAAUAAGGUCUAAUAAAACUCACACUAACAAGAGAUUUUUAUGGUGGCUUCCUAUCUAAUGGAUGUGUAUAUCUUGCUAAUGGUAGGAUAGGGAAAAACACCAUAAAGGAACUUUGGUAGGAUUUGUGAUUUUCUUUAAAAAAACUCUAGACCUUAUCUUAACUCUUCUUCAAAAAAGUCAUAAGAUUUACUCUAACUCUACUACACCUAAUCUUACUAAGCAUAACUAAGAUCAAGCAUAUGCAACCCACAAAACUUAGAUUUAUAGCGAACUUUAUUCACUACAAGACUAUAGUGGUAGGAAUUGCAUAGCAGACUUGUGCAUCGUUUUUUAGAGCAAUGAUUCAUUAUUUCCAACAUAUUAACAUGGGUUCAAUAGGAAUUGAAAUAGGAUUACUUUUCCGGUUAAGCAUAAUAAAUGGCUAUAUAAUCAAGCUAACCAUGUCCUUAGUAGGAUAGAACAAUGAAUGUAAUGGUAGAAAAGUAAAGGAGCAAUAAUAAGAACGUACCUUAGUGGGGAGAUGACAUCACCCAAGGUAGCUUGUUGCUGGGUGUAGAGCUUAUUCUCUUAGACUAAUAACCUUUUUUUAUUUAUCCAAAAAAAGAAAAACCUAACUACUACUUCAUGAUAUAGCUUAAGGCUAUUCAUAUUUUAUUUAAAGUGAAAAUAUAAAUGAGAUAACAUAAAGUCCUUUCAUGAUUGUUUCAAGGACCUUUUAUUAUUAUUGUUUUAUUUAUUUUGUUAUUAUUUAUUUUUAGUUCUUUAUUUCUCUAUUUUUCUUUUUUUAAAUUGCAUGCUUAAAUUUUUAUUUUGUUUUUAUAAUUUUUAUAUGCAGAUUUAAAAUGAUCCUAAUUCUAAAUGUAAUGAAAGGAUAGACCUAAUCUAAAUGCAAUGCAUGAUUUAAAAGAUAAACUUAGAUGCGAAUUGUAAAUGCAGAAUUAAAUGCAGAGAGAGUAAAACAUAGCUUAAAACCACUAGGGUUCUUCCUAAGCCGGAAGUUCGUCUUUUGGCGGCUUUUUCUUGAGGGGAUCUUCUUCUUCUUCCUCUUUCGACAUGGCCUCCCCCUUGUCAGGAGUCACACAAGAGGCAGUUGAUGAGGGUUCCUUCUUCUUAUGCCAUCCUCUUCUCCUUGAUAUUGGGUUCUUGAAUUUAGCCAUUUUCUUAUUGGUACAUGGUUUCCUCAAGUUUCUUGCUUCUUUUUCAUCGGGUUGCUUUGCCUGCAAGUUAGUGGCAUACUGAAAGCCCUAGUUUGGUUUUGGAUAAUUGAUGAAACCCUAGUACUAACCUCUAUGCUAAGUGUGUGUAGACUUAAUGAGGUUGGCACAUGCCAAGUGAUGGAGCAAGUGAUGAUCAUGGUGAUGAUGGUGAUGACCACAAGGUGAUCAAGUGCUCAACUUGGAAAAGAAGAAAGAGAAAAAGAAAACCCUAUGGAGAUCAAGGCGAAGGUAUUGCUUAGGGUUUUGGUUUUGGUGAUCAAGACACCAUAGAGGGUGUGAUCAUGUUUAGGAUAGAUAGUCGUACUAUAAAGAGGGGAAUUCUUUGGCUAAGCGGUUAUCAAGUGCCACUAGGUGUCAUUAUUCAUGUGCAUGCAUUUAGAACCUAGUGAGCUAACUUAACUCCUUCGAAGAAAAUGGUUGUGAAAAUGCUAACACACGUGCACAUGUUGGUUUACACUUUGUGGUGUUGGCACACUUUGAGAAGGAGGUGGAGUUUGAAGGGUAGAGACAAGUUCAGCGGGCGGCGCUUUUUGAGAAAAUGAAGUGCAUAUUUUCUAUUGCGAAGGUGGGAAAUUUGGAGAAGUCGUGGGUGUGUUUCUCGCUGAGAAACACUCACCGGACGCUUUCCACUAAGGCACCGGACGCUGCGUCUGAGCGUCCGGUGCAGACAGUGCCUGGCCUAGUUAGGGUAAGGCACCGGAUGAUAGGCAUCGGAUGCUGGCUUGAGCGUCCGGUGGUGCACGUCCGGUGUGCGGGCAUUUUGCGACCCUCUCUGCGCAUGGGUCCGGUGAACACCGGACGCUAAGGGUGCGUCCGGUGGCUUGCAUCCGGUGACCCUGCGAGUUUGCGGAGCUCUCUGCGAAAGAGUCCGGUGUGCACCGGACGCGUCCGGUGCCAACUUGCUCAGCGUCCGGUGCUCUGCAGGUUACCGUUAGACUCUGACACGCGGCUGACGUUGGAGCACCGGACGCUGGUGUUGAGCGUCCGAUGCCCCUUUAAGAGCGUCCGGUGACCCCGUGUUUUGCCCAGUGAAAGAGCCAACGGCUCUAUUUGUUUGAGGGGCUAUAAAUCUGUGUUUGGCCGGCUUGAGGCUAAUACUCUUGGCAUUCUAACAUACUUGACAUCUUUGUGAGCCUAAGCAAACACCUCCCACUCAUCUCCUUCAUAGUUUAAACAUCUUUGUGAGAUUGGGAGUGAUUCCAAGUGCAUUUGCUUGAGUGAUUGCAUCUAGUGGCACUUGGGGAUCGUUUUAGCUGCGGUUUUCUUGUUACUCUUGGUGGUUGCCGCCACCUAGACGGCUUGGAGCAGUGGAGGAGCAUUGGCACGAGUAGGUGAUUGUUCGUGGCCAUCUCCCGGUGAUUGUGAGGGGUCCUGUACCUUCCCCGGCGGAGAGCCAAAAGGUAACUCUAGUGGAUUGCUCGUGUCAUUGAGUUACCUCACUUGUGGGUAGGUUCUUGUGGCAUUCUAGUGAGGACGAGGUUCGUGCUACACCUCUUAGCCACCGAACCACCAAGUGUAGGUCGACACAACGGGGACGUAGCGUGCCGGCAAGCACGUGAACCUCGGGAGAAAAAACUUGUGUCCCAUUGUGUUUGUUGAUUGGAUUUCUCCCGGUGAUUGGACUUCAUAAUAUUGUGAUUGGUUCAUCCCCUCUACUCGGUGGUAUAAAGUUCAAACACUCUCUCUUACUUUCUUGCAAUCUAGAGUAGCUUACUUCUUGUAUAGAAACUUUAGGUAGCUCUCUAGUGUAAGUAGAGACUUAGCUCUUGUGUGCAUAGUGAUCAUAGCAACUAGAAUUGUUGGGUAGGUGGCUUGCAAACACCCCUUUAGAGCUAGAGCAAAAAGCUUCACUUUGUUAUUUACUAACCUCUUGCUCUAGUGUUUUUGUAGAAUUUUUAAAUAGGCUAUUUACCCCCCUCUAGCCAUAUUAGGACCUUUCAAGUGGUAUCGGAGCCGUGGUCACCGUUUGUGAAGGCUUAACAAACUCGGUGCUCAAAUUAUGGCUCAAAUAGUGUUCAACCAUGUUGGGGGCACACCACCAUUCUUUGAUGGCACAAGUUCCUUUGACUAUUGGAAGAGAAAAAUGAAGAUGUACCUUGGAUCAAUCAAUGAUAGAGUGUGGGAAGUCACGGAGAAUGACUUUGUGAUCCUUGACCCCGCCAACCCCACCGACAAUGAGAGAGCAAACAAGCAAUGCAAUACAAUGACUCUCAACACAAUCUAUAAUGGCAUUGACUCAAAGGUAUUUGAACAAGUCAAAGAUCUUGAGAGAGCAAGUGAAGUGUGGACAAGGCUAGAAGAAACAUAUGAGGGCACUACAACGGUAAAAAGUGCCAAAUUGUAUAUGCUCAAGGAUAAGCUAUCCAACUUCAAGAUGAAGGAUGAUGAGUCUAUACCGGAGAUGUUCUAUAGGCUCCAAGUCAUCAUCAAUGAUCUCAAGGGCCUUGGUGAGAAAGUGAAGGAUGAGGACUUCAUUCACAAGUUCUUGAUGUGCUUGCCCAAGAGGUUCAAGACAUUAAGAACAAUCAUCUUUAGAGGUGGAUUGACCGGUGUAUCUCCCAAUGAGGUACUUGGAGAUGUCAUGACCGAAGAUCAAUACAAUGACAAUGAUGAUGAUGAGGUCAUGAAGAAGGAUGAUGAUGACAAGGAGAAGAAGAGUGUAGCAUUCAAAGCUAGCUCUUCAUCCAAGAGCAAGAACAAGGGCAAGGCUAAGAAAGAAGAAUCAAGUGAUGAGGAGUGCUCCAAUGAUGACAGUGAUGACGAAGCACUAGCACUCUUUGUCCGCAAGUUUGGCAAGAUGAUGAAGAAGAAGGGUGGAUCCUAUGUUGUGACAUGGGAUAGUGAUGCCUCUUCGGCUGAUGAUUCAAGCGAUGAUGACAAGUCAUCUAAGAAGAAGGCACUUGCAAGCAUUGCUAUCAACAAUCCAUCACUCUUCAACACUCCUUCAUGCUUCAUGGCCAAGGGCCACAAGGUACAAUAUGAUGAGAGUGAAAGUGAAAGUGAAAAUGAACAUGAUAGUGAUAGUGAUGAUGAAAAUGAAUUCACUAAUGAGCAAUUCAUGGACAGGCUAGAACAAGCCGAUUCACUUAUUCAAUCUAAAAACAAGAAGUGCAAAGAAUUGGCCAAGAAGUUAAAAGCUCUUGAGCAAUCCUUUGAUGAGCUCAAUGCUAAUCAUGAGAGGCUAGUGGAAGCCCAUGAGAAGCUUGGCAAGGCUCACACCAAGCUUGAAAAAGCUCACUCCUUGUUAUUAGAAGAGAACUAGGAAAAGGUUGUUGUAUCAUGUGAUGUGGGCACAACAUGUGACUUAACUAAAGAAUCACCUAACGCACCUAUUGUUGUUGCCACUAACUCUUCAUGUAGGUCUUCAUCCACCACCACCAACUCUACCUCUACUUCUAGUGUUAGUGUCACUUGUGAUACCUCACUAAAGGUUGAGAAUGAGACUCUCAAGAGAGAGGUGGAUGAGCUCACUCACGCCUUAGGCAAGGCCUAUGGUGGUGAGGCCCGCUUGCUAAAGUGCUUGGGUAGCCAAAGGUUUUCUCUCAAUAAGGAGGGAUUAGGCUAUACCCCCAAGAAGGGCAAGAAAGCCUAUGCAACUCACAAGAUUAGCUUUGUGAAGAGCAAUGGUCGGUAUUGCAACAAAUGCAAGCAAGUUGGGCACCUAGAGCUUAAUUGCAACAAAAUGAACAAGAACAAGAAAAAUGCUAAUGCACCUUACAUUCCUUCUGAUUCUUGUUAUGUGCUUACCAAGGGUGAGAAGGGUGUGCAUGCUAAGUUUGUUGGUACACCAAUUGUGGGUCCAAAGAAGAAGGCUAUUUGGGUACCAAAAAGCUUAGUCUCUAACCUCCAAGGACCCAAACAAGUAUGGCUACCUAAGAAACAUUGAUUUGUUUUGUAGGUAAACUAUAAAGCCGGAGGAAGGCAUUGGGUGCUUGAUAGUGGGUGCACACAACACAUGACCGGUGAUUCAAGAAUGUUCAAUUCAAUCAAUCCAAAUGAUGACAAUGGUGUUGAUAGUAUCACAUUUGGUGACAAUGGCAAAGGCAAGGUCAAAGGGCUUGGUAAAAUUGCUAUAUCCAAUGAUUUGAGCAUUUCCAAUGUGCUACUAGUAGAGAGCUUGAACUUCAACUUACUAUCCGUGGCUCAACUUUGUGAUCUUGGUUUCAAAUGCAUAUUUGGAGUUGAUGAUGUAGAGAUCAUAAGUGUAGAUGGAUCAAACUUGAUAUUCAAAGGCUUUAGAUAUGAGAAUCUAUACUUGGUUGAUUUCAAUGCUAGUGAAGCUCAAUUGUCAACAUGCUUGCUCACUAAAUCUAGCAUGGGUUGGUUAUGGCAUAGAAGGCUUGGUCAUGUUGGAAUGAAACAAUUAAACAAGUUAGUCAAACAUGAUCUUGUUAGAGGCUUAAAAGAUGUCACGUUUGAGAAAGACAAGCUUUGUAGUGCAUGUCAAGCCGGAAAGCAAGUUGGGAACACUCAUCCAAAGAAGAGCAUCAUGAGUACAUGCAAGGCAUUUGAGUUGUUGCACAUGGAUCUAUUUGGACCAACCACAUACACAAGCAUUGGUGGAAACAAAUAUGGAUUUGUGAUAGUGGAUGAUUUCACAAGAUAUACAUGGGUAUUCUUUCUUAGUGACAAGAGUGAUGCUUUUGCAACCUUCAAAUCAUUUGUCAAGAGAGUACACAAUGAGUUUGAAACAACCAUCAAGAAAGUGAGAAGUGACAAUGGAAGUGAAUUCAAGAAUACAAGAGUUGAUGCUUUUGCAACCUUCAUCCAAGUAUUUGGUGACAAUCUAGAUUGAUGAGCUUUGUGAUGAUAAGCAUUUGGUGGAAACAAAUAUGGAAGUGAAUUCAACAAUACUAGAGUUGAUGAGCUUUGUGAUGAAUUUGGCAUUAGGCAUAAAUUCUCGGCCAAGUACACUCCACAAUCAAGUGGUCUUGUUGAGAGGAAGAAUAGAACAUUGAUUGACAUGGCAAGAUCAAUGUUGAGUGAAUACAAUGUGAGUCAUUCUUUUUGGGCCGAAGCAAUCAACACGGAUUGCUACUAUAGCAACCGACUCUAUUGUCACCCAAUGAUGGAGAAGACACCAUAUGAGCUCUUGAAUGGUAGAAAGCCCAAUAUUGCAUACUUUUGGGUUUUUGGUUACAAAUGCUACAUAUUGAAGAAAGGCACUAGAUUGAGUAAAUUUGAAAAGAAUUGUGAUGAAGGCUUCUUGCUUGGUUACUCCACUACUAGAAAAGCUUAUAGAGUUUGGAAUUUGGCUAGUGGUACUCUUGAAGAGGUGCAUGAUGUUGAGUUUGAUGAAACCAAUGGCUCUCAAGAGGAAGAUGAGAAUCAAGAUGAUGUGAGAGGCACUCCAUUGGCCGAUGCAAUGAAGAAUAUCGACAUUGGUGAUUUAAGGCCUAGAGAAGUGAUUGAUGUUGAAGAUGACAAAGAUCAAGUGCUUCCUACCUCUAAUGUGCAAGCUAGUGGUUCUCAUGAUCAAAAUCAAGCUAGUACAAGUGGUACACAAGUGCAAGAUCAACAAGCUAGUACAUCAUCUCAUGAUCAACCAAGUGCAAGCAAUCAAGUGCAAAUACUCCAACCAACAAAUAUUGCAAGAGAUCAUCCAUUGGAUCAUAUCAUAGGUGAUAUUCAAAGAGGAGUGCAAACUAGAUCAAGAUUAGCAUCAUUUUGUGAGCAUUUCUCCUUUGUGUCUCACAUUGAGCCAAAGAAGAUUGAUGAAGCAUUGAGAGAUGUUGAUUGGGUAAAUGCUAUGCAUGAAGAGCUUAACAACUUCAAAAGAAAUCAAGUAUGGGAAUUGGUUGAGAGGCCUAGUAAUCAUAAUGUCAUUGGUACUAGAUGGGUCUUUCGCAACAAGCAAGAUCAAGAUGGGAUAGUUGUAAGGAACAAAGCAAGAUUGGUAGCACAAGGCUAUACUCAAGAUGAAGGUCUUGACUUUGGUGAAACAUAUGCCCCGCUUGCAAGAUUGGAAGCAAUUAGGAUCUUGUUGGCCUAUGCUUGUGCACACAAUAUCAAGUUAUAUCAAAUGGAUGUGAAGAGUGCAUUUCUCAAUGGCUAUAUCAAUGAAGAAGUUUAUGUUGAGCAACCUCCCGGUUUCGAAGAUGACAAAAAAACCAAACUUGUUUGUGUUGCAAAUAUAUGUUGAUGAUAUCAUUUUUGGAUCAACCAACCAUGAAUUUUGUGAAGAGUUUGGCAACAUGAUGGCUAAUGAGUUUGAGAUGUCAAUGAUUGGAGAGCUUAGCUACUUCCUUGGUCUUCAAAUCAAGCAAUUGAAGAAUGGCACAUUUGUGAGUCAAGGCAAGUACAUAAAAGACAUGCUCAAGAAGUUUGGAAUGGAUGAUGCAAAGGCAAUUAGCACUCCAAUGGGAACAAAUGGAAGCCUAGAUAGUGAUACAAGUGGAAAUAUGGUGGAUCAAAAGUUGUAUCGGUCUAUGAUUGGAAGCCUAUUCUAAGUGACCGUAUCAAGACCGGAUGUCAUGUUUAGUGUAUGCAUGUGUGCAAGAUUCCAAGCCUCACCAAGAGAAAGUCAUUUGAAAGCAACAAAGAGUAUAUUGAGGUACUUGAAGCAUACACAAAAUGUUGGUUUGUGGUAUCCCAAAGGUGCAAAAUUUGAACUUGUUGGAUAUUUCGAUUCGGACUAUGCGGGAUGCGAAGUUGAAAGAAGAAGCACAUCGGGCACAUGUCAACUAUUGGGUAGAUCACUUGUCUCAUGGUCAUCCAAGAAGCAAAAUAGUGUUGCACUAUCAACCGCCGAAGCGGAGUACAUUGCGGCCGGUAGUUGUUGUGCACAAAUCCAAUGGAUGAAGGCAACUUUGAAGGACUUUGGAAUCAACUUCAAGCAAGUGCCAUUGCUAUAUGAUAAUGAAAGUGCCGUGAAGCUCACCAAUGUUGGGAAUUUUAAACGCAAACAAAAAAAUCCGCAAGCGCACGGAUACCGAUGUAGCUUUCACCCGGGAGUAUUCCAGAGUAUCGAUUUUCCACAAGGAACGUGAGUGUACUAAUUAAGAUCCAAGAUCGCCCAGGGAUAACUAUAUGAUUAUUUUUGGUGGGAAGAGAGAAAGUUUUCUGAGAGUUCUCUAGUUGAUCUAAGAAUCAAGAAUUACUUCAAGAUUAUCUAUUUCGGGACAUCAGAACACUAACCACAGAAAGAGAUGAGAAGGGGGCUACGAAGCUCCGACUACGGUCCUACAAACACCGAUCCGAACGAGGUGGAAUACGUCGACCGUUAGGGCUGUCACUACCCUAAGGCUACCACAACAAUCCACAGGAUUGGGUGCAAUUCCAGGUAACUGCAAGACUAAACACCACGUCUAUUCUAUUAAUUACUACUCUAAUGUUUCAAAGAUUGGAGCACUUCAUGCAAGCGGGAAUCCAAUAAAUAACUUGAAUGUAAAUAAAAGUAAUUAGAGAACUCAGGAGUUAUGAAUGGAAGAACCUGGAGAACGAUGAAGAACGAACCAGAUGCUGCAAAAGUACAAAUAUUGAGGAAGAUCCGAUAGAUCCGGCUCCUCCUCCGCUCUCCUCUUCUCUCUCCCUAUUUUCUAGAUUACAACUAGAACUAACUAGAACUAGAACUAGAGGAACUAGAACUAGAACUAGAUGAACUAGAACUAGAUCUAGAUGAACUAGAGGUAGAACUAGAAGAACUAGAGGGAUCCUCUCUACUUGGAUGAAGAAUUGAAACCCUAACUUUGAUUCUGUAGAAGAGGUAUGAUCUCCAGGGGCCAGGGGGUCUGGUUAUAUAGUCUUUUCAGAUGAAUCUGGGCCGUCGGAUCAAACCGACAUUGAUCGCACGGUUUUCCUUCAUCCUUUAGGUCGGUGGAGCAUAAUCCGCGAAACGUGUCGUGAUUGGGCACUGUAGCUGGGCGGGCACCUAGGAGAGUUGGGCGGGCGCCCUGCCUCCGAGCCCGAUUUCGUUCCCGUUCGUUCCGGAGUAUUCUAGAUGAUAGAAAAUUGCGCGACAUGUUAAUAUCUCUAUGUAAACCCAACGUGUGGGCCUUUCUUCCGUAUUUCCUGAUAACCCCCUGCAGAAAUAGACAAACACCAAAACUUGUGGAAUUCUGUCAGAUAAAACCCUAAGUCUAGGUGUUGGUUGCAUUUGGAUCCUUUUCUAUGAUUAGUUGAUGGUUAAUUGUGAGCAUUAAGGACCGUCAACAAGCUCCCCCAAGCUUAAUCCUUGCUUGUCCCUGAGCAAAGAUGGACUCAAGAGUUUCUGCAGUGGUUUCAUGCCUUAAAGAUACAAAUGCAUUCAAACAAGAUAUCAUCUCUGGGUUAGAGUAAACUGUUAAGACUUAAAACUUACUCAUAUUACCUUUCACCAUGGGGUUUGUAACCGUCACUUCUGUCUUGAGUAGUUAAAAGAUAGAACGGUCUAAUCAAACGCUAUGUCUCUUGUUCUUUGAUUAACUAUAGCUCUGGAGUUUUUGUAGAUUUUCAAAUAAAACUUAGAGAUUCCUUGUAUGACUCUCUCUAGUCUCUCUUUUGUAGUAUUUCUGGAUCCUUACCAAGGCAGUGAUGGUAUAUGCCUUCUCUCAAAGUAUGUGGUAUUUGCAGUAUGAAGUAUAGUGGCAUUGCCUUCUCUCUCACCCUACUCUAAUAAGGUUUUGAUAUCUGGAGCUCAUAGGUGGGAGAUAGCUAAUACAUACUUACAAGACAUUUAUUGCAUAGUCAAACCAUGGAUCCAGAAGAACAAGUCAAUAAGUCAAAUCAAGAUGUGCAUGUGUGGCGAAUGAAUGGUGUAUGGUGAUGAUGGUGACAACAAUGGUGAAAGUCUAAUUCUACUUGUGCUCUUUUGAGGGGAUACAUACCUUUCUUGCUCUUUUGGAACUUUUUGAGGAGAAUGAGAUGCUCUAUAUUUUCUUUUUCUUUUCUCUCAGGUGGGUAUUUUGUAUCCCUAAUUCUACUGUCGGACACUUGUCCAUUUUUACCUCUCGUCUCACUUUUUCUUUUCUUUUGAGGUUUCGGGCACUUGCCCCUUUUUAUUUCCUCGUAUCUCUUUUUUUCUUUCUUUUUUUAGAGCACUCAUCUCCUGAAAUAAUAUAGCAAGUGGUAGUAACCAAGAUAACUUGAGCAUUCAUUUCAAAGGGGAAAACAGAAAUAGGAGAAUGUUUUUAGCUAUUCUCUCCCGGAUUAGGAGUAGAAUAUUUUUGGAUGGUUUUGGAGAUGGAAAUGAGUGGAUGUGCAAGUGAAUCUUGAUUUAACCACAUGACAAGCUCCUAAGGGUCUACACAGCUUGACCACACUCAAUGCUCAUAAGCAGUAAAAAGUAAAUGUGUGGCUCAAAGUCUAGCAAGCAUGUAUAUAUGGCUGUGGUAGGAAUUUAAACUCUCAUCAUACAGGAACUCAUCAUGCAACAUUUUAAAGAUUUUUCAAAGAUAAAAUUCUCCAGAAUUCUAGCAUCUCUAGGAAUAGAUAAACAGCAGCUCAACCUUCCCAUCUCAUAUCCGUUAACGACUUAGACUUUAGAUCAAGUACUCUUCCCACAAGUUCAGGUUUAGAGCAAAUCUUAAUUAAUAACAGUCAUGCCUAAACUUGAGAGAGAUUUUAAUUUUGAGAACUAGUCAUGGCAGAGCAACUAUUCAUUAUUUCCAUGUGAGAGCUUAUCAUGAGGGUUCAUAGCAAACUUUAUUUAUUUAUUUAUUUAGCAAUCUAAGCAAAGAUAUAUAUAUAUAUAUAAGCACAAAAUCUUUAUUUGGGUUUUUAUGAUUAUGCAUCUUUUAUUAUUUGAGUAAAGUAUAAAGAUGAGUAGAACACUUAGCUGGAUAAAUGGGAGUGCUCUCCCCCAAGCUGGAUUUUGACGUAAUUCCUUGUGAUGUAGCUAGCAGGUAGCGGAGAUGUAUUUGAAUGUCGGCAGCACCCUGACAGCGAUUAGGAUGUCCUCUGUCUGCUAGUCUUCUUUGAUCCUUGAAUUCUGUGGAGCUCAAAUAGACAACAAAGCUUUGUGGAACUGGUUAAGUGUUAGCAUAAGUAUCUAGCCUUUAUCAUGUUGAGCCUCCUCAAUAAAUGUUACUCUCUUUAGUAGGAUCAUAAAUUUAUGUUUAUAAUUUUAUUUUUAUAGGAUAGGAAUAUAUUUAUUUUAUUUUUUUAUGCCACCACAGUGAAUGUACUUAUGGGUUUUAUGCCAUGAGCAUACUCACAUGGGGCUUACUAUUUUAAACAUUUUUAUUUUCUUUUCAAGAUGAUGUGAACCUGAUUAACUAAGCAAACUAUUUUAAAUAAUUGAAAGGAGAAAGAUAACUACCAAGUUUACCACUUGGCAAGGCGUUCGGUGUUUUUAAGUCCGGGACUCUCUGUUUUCUCAGUCGUCCUGGGCUUCGUUGGAUGGCGUAGUCGGUGGUUCCGGUGGCGCUUCUUCUUCAUGUAUAACUAUCUUCUCUUUCCACACCUGACUCGGUACUACGAUCUCCUCAGGACAGUUCUAUUCAAGCUAUAUGGCUUCAGACCUCACUACUUUUCCUUUGUAGUCUGCCCAUCCGUCCUUGAUGAUUUUACCUUCUCUGGUUGCGGUUGCGUCGUCUCCUUCUUGUCCUGACCUGCUUAGAGUCUUCAACUAUAUAGUUUGGGUCAGUACAAUAGCGGCGUACCUUCUCAGAGGGGAAGUGCAUGUGGACUUCUCCGGUUCCAAUGUAAAUGAUUGCUUUAACAGUGUUGAGGAACGGUCUUCCAAGGAUGAUGGGUGGAUUGUACUCAUCUUCAACCUUUCGGAAUGUCUAAUCUGCCAUCUAGAGCUGAAUGUAUGUCGGUUUUAGGGGCAUGGUUCCGAACCGGAGCUGAUAAGUGACUGCGGCCAUUAUGUUGACGUUAGAUCCGGUGUCGUAGAGUGUCUUCUAAAAAGAGUAUCCGGUGAUUGUGCACUCGAUGCUUGGAACACCAGAGUUGUCCUUCUUGAUCAAGAAAGGCGACUUGAGUUGACGAUCUUGACCUCCUUGAGCUGCAGUGACCAUCUUAGCUGACUCGGUCCACACUUGCUUGUUCCUGUUCCUACUGUUGGUCCUCUUCCUAGGUUCAUGUCUGGAUUGCUCUGAGAUUUGUGUAGUCUUAUUCUUGAAGGUAAACGUCUCCGUCCUUCCCAUGAUGUAGAAACUGAUCUUGGCAGCACUAGCGUAGAUGACAACUCCCGAGGUGUUCAGGAAUGGCCUUCCUAGUAUGAUGGGUGCCCUCUGAUCAGUAUCAGUCUCUAUCACCACGAAGUCUGCUGGAGCGUAUAAGGUACCAACUCGGACGUACAGGUUCUUCAAUAUUCCCUUUGGGAAACUUAGUGUCUGAUCUGCAAGCUACAAACACGUGGUUGUUUCUAGGAAAGGACGUGUAAAGAAUUUUUCGUAGAGUACCCUGAGCAUAAUGUUGACGCUGGAGCCAAAGUUGCAGAGUGCUUCUAGGAAGUCCACCAUGCCGAUGGAGAUCGGGAUGACGGGGUGUCCUGGAUCGCCUCUCUUGACCGGUAGAAGGUCAGUAAUUACUUCCACAACGGGGUUACUCCAGUAGUUACGUGCUCAAGCAUCUCAGGGCAGUGAUUGCCUGAGUGUCCAGUAUCUCCAGUGUGUUUGUGCUCGUAGAUCUUGGUUCUUCACUUGGUGGAGUCUGGGAGUUGUAACACUCCUUCAUAUUUUGCUCGAAGUGUACCUCCUCAUAAAGACAAGGCAGAGAUCGAGUGCAUGGGCCCUGUUGGUGGAAAACACCAACAGAACCAAAAGUGUAUUUGUUCUUCUCUAACCUCAAGCAUAGUGAGCAAGACAAAGUUGAUAGAUAAUAAGAUCAUGAGUGUAGCAUUUAAAACAUUUGUCAGAUCAGAUCACUCAACCUAAUGGAAAGAUAAUCUAUCUAUACUUAUGUUGUUUUUUUUAUAUAUAUCUUCCAAAGAUUGAGUGUGCAACAUUUUAGCUCAUAUGAUUAGGAGUGUGGGAUCACAAAGGUGGAAAGACUAAACAUAUUGAAUCGAUUGGGUUGGUUAAUCUAGAUUUGUAAAUCAUACAUGUUUGUCUCUUUUAUUCAUGUGAACGGAAGAACUAAGGAGAAGCUUAUAAAAGUGAUAGUCAAGUACCUUAAGAUGUUACCUUACUUGAAGAGUGAUGGUACAGUAUCACCUUGUGGAAGCUUUCCUUACUUAGCGGUUGUGCAUCGUGCUUGUGGCACCCUCCAUGGAUCAUCUCUUGUGAGCUAUGCCUUCCUUGUGUAAAUUGUUAAACUUCAUGUGCCUCUCUCUUCGUCUCCAACGUGAGUGUAUCUCAGGACUUCCCAGGUCGAUAUUGAAAGUUUUCCUGUAGGGGUUAGUCCAACAAAAUAUCCAAUAUCUACUAUAGCAUACUAUUGGCUCAAAAAUCAACCUAGACACCAUGUCUAAUUUGAUUUAGGAGGGUAUUUUAACCUAAGCAUCAUGCUUAAUUUAAACUCCCUUGGAAGUAAGAUCAUCAGCCCUAAACUAAGCACCAUGCUUAAUUAAGAGAUAAAUGAAACUACUCCAAACCUAGACGUAUACUAAAGCAAAUAAAGGUAGCAUGAGAGGAUUUAUAGAGAUCUACUCAAGUGGAGAUAAAGCAGUGUGAUUACUAUUUAACAAAUUGAGCAUGUCUCAAAGGUAGGGACAACCAACAUAGCAACAUGGCAAAUGAUGUUUUUAUAUAAAGUACUCCCCCAAGCUUGAAUUUUGCAAAAUUCAAGUUUGGAUGAAUUUAAUUCAAUGUUGUAUGAUGAUUGGUUGUACAUACCUUGUGCUUGUCAUUCAUCCGAUCUUCUUGCUCCAAUCCUAGAAAGGUUAGUGACAAGAAUACCCGAAGGAAUUUUUUUACAAUUAUCCUUACAUGCUCAAUACACAAGGUAAUGUUGUAAAUAAUUAAAAGCUUAUGUUACGAUCUGAUCAGUGCUUGUUUUAGGACACUAAUCUUGUCCUUGGGAAACCAUGAAUUUAUGUCGGCGAAGUGGUUUCCCCUCCAACGCUGACCUAUAUCAAGAUCAACUCAACGAGAUCUGCAAUAUUUAAUAUAGACAUAUGCAUCGACAACCGCCCUUUUAAAGUUUUUAUAAAUAGAAAGGAUGAGGGGGUUGGAGAUCUCGAAUGUGGUGAUGUUGGGGAGACCAAUGGAUUGUGAAGAUGUUGCAUAUGAGCAUGGAGUAAAUGAAGUGGCUAUAAAAUAAAUUCCAUGCUCAUUAAUGCUUAGAGUGAAAUCCAUGUGGUAUGGUGAAAGUAAUAAGGUGAGUGUGGUAAAAAAAAGGAAAAGAAAAAGGAUACACGGACGACUUCGUUCGAAACUAGCACAGCUACCGUUCCCCGGCAACGGCGCCAGAAAGCUUGUUGGGUAUUUUAAACGCAAACAGAAAAAUCCGCAAGCGCACAGAUACCGACGUAGCUUUCACCCGGGAGUAUUCCAGAGUAUCGAUUUUCCACAGGGAACGUGAGUGUACUAAUUAAGAUCCAAGAUCGCCCAGGGAUAACUAUAUGAUUAUUUUUGGUGGGAAGAGAGGAAGUUUCCUGAGAGUUCUCUAGUUGAUCUAAGAAUCAAGAAUUACUUCAAGAUUAUCUAUUUUGGGACAUCAGAACACUAACCACAGAAAGAGAUGAGAAGGGGGCUAGGAAGCUCCGACUACAGUCCUACAAACACCGAUCCGAACGAGGUGGAAUACGUCGACCGUUAGGGCUGUCACUACCCUAAGGCUACCACAACAAUCCGCAGGAUUGGGUGCAAUUUCAGGUAAUUGCAAGACUAAACACCACGUCUAAUCUAUUAAUUACUACUCUAAUGUUUCAAAGAUUAGAGCACUUGAUGCAAGCGGGAAUCCAAUAAAUAACUUGAAUGUAAAUAAAAGUAAUUAGAGAACUCAGGAGUUAUGAAUUGAAGAACCUGGAGAACGAUGAAGAACGAACUAGAAGCUGCAAAAGUACAAUGUUGAGGAAGAUCCGACAGAUCCGGCUCCUCCUCCGCUCUCCUCUUCCUUCUCCCUAUUUUCUAGAUUACAACUAGAACUAACUAGAACUCGAACUAGAGGAACUAGAACUAGAACUAGAACUAGAUGAACUAGAACUAGAUCUAGAUGAACUAGAGGUAGAACUAGAAGAACUAGAGGGAUCCUCUCUACUUGGAUGAAGAAUUGAAACCCUAACUUUGAUUCUGUAGAAGAGGUUUGAUCUCCAGGGGCCAGGGGGUCUGGUUAUAUAGUCUUUUCAGAUGAAUCUGGGCCGUCGGAUCAAACAGACAUUGAUCGCACGGUUUUCCUUGAUCCUUUAGGUCGGUGGAGCAUAAUCGGCGAAACGUGUCCUGAUUGGGCACUGUAGCUGGGCGGGCGCCCAGGAGAGUUGGGCGGGCGCCCUGCCUCCGAGCCCGAUUUCCUUCCCGUUCGUUCCCGUGGCUUCUAGAGUCUUCUAGAUGAUAGAAAAUUGCACGACACGUUAAUGUCUCUAUGUAAACCCGACGUGUGGGCCUUUCUUCCGUAUUUCCUGAUAACCCCCUACAGAAAUAGACAAACACCAAAACUUGUGGAAUUCUGUCAGAUAAAACCCUAAUUCUAGGUGUUGGUUGCAUUUGGAUCCUUUUCUAUGAUUAGUUGAUGGUUAAUUGUGAGCAUUAAGGACCGUCAACAACCAACAAUCCGGUUCAACACUCAAGAACAAAGCACAUAGAUGUCCGCCAUCACUUCAUAAGAGAUCACCAACAAAAAGGGGACAUUUGUAUUGAGAGUAUAGGCACCGAUGAUCAACUUGCCGAUAUAUUCACCAAGCCACUUGAUGAGAAGAGGUUUUGCAAGCUAAGGAAUGAAUUGAACAUACUUGACUUUUCAAAUAUGUGUUGAUGCACCCCCACUCAUAUGACAUGCCUCUCCUUCGAGCAAAGCAAGGUAACAUUGAUUGACAUGUCAUUCAUCCUAUGCUAAGGACUUGCUUAGUGCAUCUAGUCAUUCUUUAAAUAUCUUAGGCUCAUUCAUGAAAAUCAAAUGAAUUUGAUGCUUGUAUGGUACCACUAUUGCUUCUAUGCUUGACUUGAUCUAGUGGUAGCAUAUGACAUGUUUUUGGGCUUGCAAUCCUAGUGUUUGAUCUAGAAUAUGAGCUAUAAGUGUUUAACUCAACAUGGUACAAGAUAACCCUUAUUUGGAGGUGUGAAGAAGCUUGUCCUUGGAUCAAACCGAGUUAAAUAUCUUAGGCAAGUAAUCUAGAUUGGACCAAUUUGGUAAAAUGAUCUCACUUCACAUGGUUUCACACUAACCUAUAUAAAAUUUGAACUCACCUUUUGUGGUCUUUGAUGACAAAGGGGGAGAAAAUUUCCCAAAGAUUUAAGAUAGGUGAGUAACAUGAUAAAAGAAGGGGAUCAAUUAAAAUUUUGAAGCACACAAGUAGGGGGAGCAAGCUCAUUAACUUGUAUGUUGCAUUUGAAUGUGCAUCACAUAUGGUUGCUUGCAUUUGCAUUAGCUUUAGAAGCUUUCUCUCCGAUACCUUGCUUGUGUGAUGUAUGCUAGUUAUAGGUUUGAUUGAUGAAAUGAAGAACUAGCAUGCAUAGGUAGUGUAACUAGACUUUUAGUUAUUUCACAAGUGGUACAAGAGUUUAUAAUGUUGAUCUCACGGGGUGUUCUAGUUUUGUGAAUGUCUAGUCACUAAUGGUGCUAAGGAUGGUGUAUAUUGGCAACUCCGAUUGGUAUCACGCUUCAAAGGUCCAUUCUUUACACCUUAGCAUCAUUUGGUAUAAAUUGACUCCUAUAUUUCCUAUUCAAAGCAUAUGUGCAAGCUUUCAAAUCCAAACUCUUAGCACAUAUGUAGGGGGAGCAAUUGCUACCAAUUUGGGUUUAUAAAACUUGUCCAUAACCUUUGCACAUCGUAAAAUGCUUGGGCAAGCAACAUGAAUCCAAGAAAAUUUUAUUGAAAAUCUUUGUAAAAAGGGUUGUCAUCAAUUACCAAAAAGGGGGAGAUUGAAAGCCCUAGUUUGGUUUUGGAUAAUUGAUGAAACCCUAGUACUAACCUCUAUGCUAAGUGUGUGUAGACUUAAUGAGGUUGGCACAUGCCAAGUGAUGGAGCAAGUGAUGAUCAUGGUGAUGAUGGUGAUGACCACAAGGUGAUCAAGUGCUCAACUUGGAAAAGAAGAAAGAGAAAACCAAAAUCCUAUUGAGAUCAAGGUGAAGGUAUUGCUUAGGGUUUUGGUUUUGGUGAUCAAGACACCAUAGAGGGUGUGAUCACAUUUAGGAUAGAUAGUCGUACUAUAAAGAGGGGAAUUCUUUGGCUAAGCAGUUAUCAAGUGCCACUAGGUGUCAUUAUUCAUGUGCAUGCAUUUAGAACCUAGUGAGCUAACUUAACUCCUUCGAAGAAAAUGGUUGUG